GCACAUCUUGAAAUGAUCACGAACGAACGGAUCACGACCCGCUGCACGUAAAACUUGUUUGCACUCCAAAAAGCAUCUUCCAAACAGAUCUCUGACGUCAUCAAAGAGGACAAUACCACCGAAUACACCGAGACCUCAUUCCGUGUGGAGGAUGUGAUUAACCAUUGUUUACAUUUCCACUUUUGUCCAGUUCCAAAAAAGUUGAACCUGUUUUCCAUUAAUAGCCACAAGAACCAAGCAAGGGAUCCUGGGAUUUAAUAAAAAUGGAUGUCAAGUUUGCCGUGAGCAUUACCGGUGUGUUUAUGAAAGAUGGCCUAAGAAAACACGCACACUGUUUGGUGCAUAAUUUGAAAUAUCAGAUGAUUUUGUCAUUGAAUUAGCAGACAUGCGGUAAAAAAAUCCACAGUGGAAUUAUUUCUCUGCACAAGGGUGCAUCAAAAUUUUUGAGAUUGGAAAAGACAUGAGAGUGCAUCAAAAAGAAAAACCAGAGUUCUCAAUAUGUUAGGUUUCACCUCACAAUUGGGGAUGGACAAUACCUACACAUGGCAAGAUAAGAAAUUACCAUGAAGAUUAUGUCUGACUUGAACUUUCCUCCACUGUUGAGGCAACUGUCAAUGCCACAGCUCAGAAAGUUUUGGCCAUCAGUGCCAGGUGAAAUCAAGAGCAACAGUUAAUUGAAAAUUCAGAAAGAUACCUGGUCAUACAGAAAUACAUCAUUUUCAUACCCUGAUUGUCAAGUUGGACACAAUGUUAUGUGCAGACUUUUGAUAUUGCUUUAAGCAAUACUAGACAUAUUAUAUGACCCGCCAAUAUUUGAGUCUAAUGUAUAAUUGUCAGUUUAUUUGAUUUAGUUGAUUGCUGAGCUUCAAAGGAAUUGGUUGUCGUUUUUCUGAUCCUCGCCUUCGAACUGUAAACACUGCAACAACUUGAAUCCUCAGUGAGAAAAUACCUGAUGCUUUCAAAACAGUUGCUGAAAUAAUUUGAUAAAUUAGAACUUUAUGUUGCAGCUCAGACAGAUAUCUCAAUAGCCAAAUUUUUUUUUUAACUUCCAGAAGACACAAAUUUUAGUGUGAAUUAAAAAUGGGAGGUAAAAAACAAAAAUGCAAUUCAGAAGAUAGAAGCAGGGGUCAGUAUCAUACAAACCUAUAAAUGAAAAAACUUAUCCCAAAGGUUGCAUAGCAACAUCAUUCAAAGGUCGAAGGAGCUGGAAAAAGUCUUUAUUGAAUUUCUAUGUCAAUGAUAUAAGGAUAUUAAAAACAGUUUGUACGUUCAAGGGAUUAAAUAUUCGUUAUCAUUAUUACUACUUAUCGUUAGCUUAAACUCUAAUGGACGGUGUUACCUGGUUAGAUACCCAACGUGUAAACGUGGCAUGGUUUUUAGAAUCGAAUUUGUCUUAUAGCAAACAUUUUGAUUGUGUCGUUGUGUAACUUGAGAAAUGAAUAUUAUAGGAUGUUAAGAAUUAUGGAGUCAGUACAGUGUUGCAGUGGAGGGGUAGCACGGCAUAGCGCUGUUAUGCUUCCUAAAAUGUCUAAUUUAUUACAACUAAAUUGACUAGACUUAAUACUUGCCUCACCUAUGGUUUGUAUGUGUAUAAAGUGAUUAAAGCCAUAUGAAAAUAUGGGCAUGCGUAGUUCGGAGGCCUUAUGUUCAUGAUUGUUUCCGGUAAAAAUAUGAAGAAAUCUUUUCAUUAGUCACAAAGAAGAGAGCGGGGUCAUAGAAGAAGAAAAUGAAUAUGUUUACCGGGGUUAAC